UGACAUAUUGGUUUAUUAACUCUACUAUACUUCAAGAAAAUGAGAGGUUAAAACCUCUGUAUGAUCUACUGAUCAUCAUCACAUCAUUAGUUUAUUCUUAUAUUUAAUUAAUAAACAAUAAUAUAUCAAUCGACUUCAUUAUGUCUGUAAGACAUAACGUGAACAUGACAACUUGACAAAAUGUUUGACUAUUUUAUUAUAGUUUACUAAACAGUUACAAAUUAAGAAGAUAAUUUUGGAUACCAGUUAAAUACAUAGUACUGGAAUGAGAUACUUCAUUCGAUAAGUGUAUGGCACAAGUAAAAAAUCAUCAAAACAAAAAUCCUGGGAAAAAAUCAGUAUCAAAAGGCAAGGAUAGUCGGCGCGAUCCUUAAAAACUAAUCACACACUUUAUCAAAUUUGUUCACUCGAACCAAACGACAGGUAUAUAGAAAUUUGAUCUUAACAUUGCCCUAAUCGAACAAUCAAUUUUAUACAAUAUUACAAGAAUAAACAACUUUUAAUAUCAACGUUUUACUUUAACAAAGAAAUGAAAUGUGAUAUUUCGUCCAAGAUGGCAUCGAAUAAAAAACAAAGCUAAAUGUUCUAUAUGCCUGUCGCGAAUUCAACAAUAAGGAGAAAAUUUGUCCAAUAUCAUAUGUAUUUUUCCAAAAUAUCAUGCAUACACUCUUAUUAUUUUACAUUUAAUGAUCAUUACAUAAAUAUCAAUAUUAUACAUUAUAUUUAUAUUUUUCAAAAAAUAAUCUGUCAAUUUUUAUGCCAAAUGUUCUUCUCCUUACUUCUGAAUAACCUCGCCCUCUUACAGGAUUAUUGUGAAUGAAUUCCUAAAAGUAAUGCCCAUCUACCCAACAUUUCUGACACUUCUACUUUCACUAUCUUUAAAAUUGUUGUAUUAAUAGACGCGCGGCACGCACCCCCAAAAUAACAUGGUACUGACCACGGUUAGGUGAAUGGCUAAUUUUGGUCUAACUUUAUGUUUUUGAUGGCGCUGAAAACGAAAAUGAAGUUUAUUUUGUUCAAGUGGGGAAACAAUGUCAAAAACGCAAUUUUACCCUAAAAAUAAAAAAAGAAAUCAUGUUCUUCUGCGAACUCACUACAACUCUAUUCGGUUUUAAUAUUUUUUUAUAGCAUAUAUUUUACAGCUUUCUGAAGACCAUGGGAUCUGUUGCAAGCCUUCGAUCAUAUUCUAAUAAGUUAUGAUUUUUUUAAAGUAAAAGGUGAACAUUCGUGAAUUGCAAAGUUAAAUCGCAAAAGUUGAGUGACAAAAUUUGAAAUUUAGAUUUUUAAUCACGUUUAUGUUAAAAUAUACAGAACAAAGAAGUUUUCUCGGGAGUUUUAGAUCAAAAUGUUUUGUAGCAAAAAAAUGGUGUGACUUUUAGUAUGGACGUUAACUGCAGCUUUGCAAAAACACGUAUCAAGUGCUGUUUUUGGCAAAUAAAUGAAUGGGAUCAAGCUUUUUUUUCUCUGAUUCUGGCUUUGGUUUAGAACUAGAACCUUUAGCCACGUAAUUAUAUAACUUAUUACUAAGUCAGGGGAGUAAUGUGUAGUGUGUGUGUUGAGUAAGUGUCUUGUUACUUUGCAAAGUCGACGUCAUUGUCUUUGCAAAGAGACGCUAAUUGUUUCCGAACGUCUGCGGUCCCUCCGGUGAAGGGAUCAAGCUAUUUGUCAAAAUAUAAUAUCAAAAAUGUUGCUGACUGUUGUUGGUUACUCAAUGAUGAAGUUUUGAGCCCAGAUUACUAUGAUGGAUGUUCAGCGAUGAAAGUUUUACAAAAAUGUUUUUGUUCAUGCAAAGGAAAAAAUCGGUGUAAAACGGAUGUCUUACAUGUAAAGUGCUCGAAUUAGAAUGUUGUGAUAGUUGUACGUGUAAUAGUUCAGGUAGUAAUAAAUUAGAACCUAAAUUAUAAUUAGAAAUUUUUGACAAUGUUUCCCCACUUAAAAUUCAAAAUAAACUUCAUUUUCGUUUUUUAGCACCGCCAAAAAUAUAAAGUAACGCCAAAAUAAGCCAUUCACUAUCCGUGGUCAAUAUCUCGAAAAAUAAGCGUUAUUUUGGGGGUGAGCCACUCGCCUAAUUUCUUUGCAAUAAGUAGAUUAAAAUGAGAUUAGAUAUGUUGGGCAAUCAGCAUAUUUAACCUAACCAAAGGAGCUAUAUAAUCGUAGCAAAGAUACGUUUAAUGGAACUCCUGGUUAUUGUUCAUAAUAAACUGAUGGAAAACAAUUGCUUUCACAUAUAUUGAAUUAUCGUACUCUUGUUUUCCCUCAGAACUAUUGCAAACUACUAACGUUUGCAUAUUUGUGAUGUGACUUUUAAAUAACAAUCAUUACUAAAAAUAUCACAAAAUUGUUGUUGAUAAAUGAAAAAAUAAUAAUGAGCCACUGUAAAUAUAUACAAAGUAGGUUAUUAUUAGAAAUAGGGCGAUGGCUAAAAAAUAUUGUACCUUAUACAGAUUUCGUCAAAGGUUUUUAGGCUAACAUUAGAUAGGAAUCAGUAAUAACUUUUAAAAAAGCUGGCACUCGAUUCCAUAUUUGAAUAUGGUAUUCUACGUUAUUUCCUAAAGUCUGCAAAAUCCCAAUAAAGUAGAACCGAAUUUUAACCACUUUAUUUUAUGUUAUAAAAGGGGAUUCAUUGGAAAGAGGUCCUUUUCUACGUGGCUCACUUCACCGAAAAUCACUCUUGAAUUACAUUAAUUUCAGGUAAUUUUAUCGGCAGAUUUUCAAAAAAUAUACGAUUAACAACUAUUUGGACCUGCAGAAUCGUCACUUUUAGUACUCUUUGUCUUAGUAUUUAACAGGAUAAUCUACGUAAGUAAUACAAUGUAUUUUGCUGCAUUCCAGGACGUAUAUCACUCGUUUAAGAUAGAUUCUGUCCAUGUAGUGGAAGAAUUACUAAAACUUAUACCAUAAUCAUAAUUUUGUUAUGAUUAUUAUCUAGGUGUAAAAACAUACUUUUAUCUAAUCACAUGUAGACCAUUAGAAGCAAAUCACACGUCAUAUUUCAAUAUAUAGUUACUUUCUUUAGGUCACUAUAAUAUGAUUCUAUAUACUAUUAUAUUAAACAAGUUUGGAUAUAAUAAUAAAACAUUGAGUAUAAAAGUAACCAUCUUGCAUACCUUAAUCUAGGUCACUGAUUAAAGAGUAAGAAAAACCACACAACAUAACUAUUAUUGUCAGUUACCCAACAACAAACAAAACUUUAACAAAAAACACAUAAAUAUAUAAAAAAUAUAGUGAAAUUUUUUUAAGAAAAAAACUAUGAAUAAAUGAAACAAUAGGCAACUGACGAGCCUUAGGAAUACUUAGGUAUAUAACAAGAUUUAUAAGCAAAAGAGUGUUAGUUUUAAAAUUUCUGUCAGCAGAGGCUAAGGCAAUUAUGCAACAGCUGGCAAAGCUCAGCAACAUUUUUGAAAAGCUGCAUUGGUGCUUUAAAAUCAUCGAUGUUUCAUCAAAAACGGUUUUUAAGGAAACAAACCUUUAUUAAUUGUGCAUUAAAUGUUCCUGCGUAUAGUUUCUUUAAACUUCUGAUUUGCUGUAUUAGUAAGUAUUUAGAACGAUGCUAUGGUUGUGGUCUAAAUU